rnacentral:rRNA from 2 species
GUCGAGCGUGACAGAUCGGGAGCUUGCUCCCUGAUGUUAGCGGCGGACGGGUGAGUAACACGUGGGUAACCUGCCUGUAAGACUGGGAUAACUCCGGGAAACCGGGGCUAAUACCGGAUGCUUGUUUGAACCGCAUGGUUCAAACAUAAAAGGUGGCUUCGGCUACCACUUACAGAUGGACCCGCGGCGCAUUAGCUAGUUGGUGAGGUAACGGCUCACCAAGGCAACGAUGCGUAGCCGACCUGAGAGGGUGAUCGGCCACACUGGGACUGAGACACGGCCCAGACUCCUACGGGAGGCAGCAGUAGGGAAUCUUCCGCAAUGGACGAAAGUCUGACGGAGCAACGCCGCGUGAGUGAUGAAGGUUUUCGGAUCGUAAAGCUCUGUUGUUAGGGAAGAACAAGUACCGUUCGAAUAGGGCGGUACCUUGACGGUACCUAACCAGAAAGCCACGGCUAACUACGUGCCAGCAGCCGCGGUAAUACGUAGGUGGCAAGCGUUGUCCGGAAUUAUUGGGCGUAAAGGGCUCGCAGGCGGUUUCUUAAGUCUGAUGUGAAAGCCCCCGGCUCAACCGGGGAGGGUCAUUGGAAACUGGGGAACUUGAGUGCAGAAGAGGAGAGUGGAAUUCCACGUGUAGCGGUGAAAUGCGUAGAGAUGUGGAGGAACACCAGUGGCGAAGGCGACUCUCUGGUCUGUAACUGACGCUGAGGAGCGAAAGCGUGGGGAGCGAACAGGAUUAGAUACCCUGGUAGUCCACGCCGUAACGAUGAGUGCUAAGUGUUAGGGGGUUUCCGCCCCUUAGUGCUGCAGCUAACGCAUUAAGCACUCCGCCUGGGGAGUACGGUCGCAAGACUGAAACUCAAAGGAAUUGACGGGGGCCCGCACAAGCGGUGAGCAUGUGGUUUAAUUCGAAGCAACGCGAAGAACCUUACCAGGUCUUGACAUCCUCUGACAUCCUAGAGAUAGGACGUCCCCUUCGGGGGCAGAGUGACAGGUGUGCAUGGUUGUCGUCAGCUCGUGUCGUGAGAUGU